AUUGAACGCUGGCGGAAUGCUUUACACAUGCAAGUCGAACGGCAGCACGGGGGCAGCCCUGGUGGCGAGUGGCGAACGGGUGAGUAAUACAUCGGAACGUGCCCGGUCGUGGGGGAUAACGUAGCGAAAGUUACGCUAAUACCGCAUACGUUCUGAGGAUGAAAGCGGGGGACCUUCGGGCCUCGCGCGAUCGGAGCGGCCGAUGUCAGAUUAGGUAGUCGGUGGGGUAAAGGCCUACCAAGCCGACGAUCUGUAGCUGGUCUGAGAGGACGACCAGCCACACUGGGACUGAGACACGGCCCAGACUCCUACGGGAGGCAGCAGUGGGGAAUUUUGGACAAUGGGCGCAAGCCUGAUCCAGCCAUUCCGCGUGCAGGACGAAGGCCUUCGGGUUGUAAACUGCUUUUGUACGGAACGAAAAGGCUCUGGCUAAUACCUGGGGCUCAUGACGGUACCGUAAGAAUAAGCACCGGCUAACUACGUG
rnacentral:rRNA from 1 species